rnacentral:rRNA from 1 species
AGCAGCCGCGGUAAUUCCAGCUCCAAUAGCGUAUAUUAAAGUUGUUGCAGUUAAAAAGCUCGUAGUUGAAUUUCGGGGUUAGUAGGUUGGUCAUGCCUCUGGUAUGUACUGGUCUCACUGAUUCCUCCUUCCUGAUGAACCUUAAUGCCAUUAAUUUGGUGUUUUGGGGAAUUUGGACUGUUACUUUGAAAAAAUUAGAGUGUUUAAAGCAAGCUAACGCUUGAAUACAUUAGCAUGGAAUAAUGAAAUAGGACGUUCGAUCCUAUUUUGUUGGUUUCUAGGAUUGACGUAAUGAUUAAUAGGGAUAGUUGGGGGCAUUAGUAUUCAAUUGUCAGAGGUGAAAUUCUUGGAUUUAUUGAAGACUAACUACUGCGAAAGCAUUUGCCAAGGAUGUUUUCAUUAAUCAAGAACGAAAGUUAGGGGAUCGAAGACGAUCAGAUACCGUCGUAGUCUUAACCAUAAACUAUGCCGACUAGGGAUCGGAUGAUGUUAAUUUUUUAAUGACUCAUUCGGCGCCUUACGG